rnacentral:snRNA from 1 species
GGAUGUGAGGGCAAUCCGGCUGUGAUAUCUGUCACCCCAUUGAUGGCCAGGGUUGAUUGGGCUGUUCUGGCUGGCUAGGCGGAUGUCCCCUUCCUCCUUCGCCGCUUCAGGUGCGUCCCUCCCGAAGCUGCGCGCUCGGUCGCAGAGGUCAACCAUGCCCGAUAGAGGAGGACCGUUCUUGGGUCAAGGGUAUACGAGUAGCUGUGCUCCCCUGCUAGAACCUCCAAACAAAAAGUGUGUGGGCAUACAUGUACACACACACACACGGACAUAGAUGUCAUUUAACUGUGUCCCGU